rnacentral:snRNA from 1 species
UAGUGUGAUAACUCUUUUAUAAUUUGUGUAGCAGGUUUUCCGGUCUUCACUAGAAAACUCAU